GAACGUACAGCUUAGUGGUCAGAGGGCUUGGAUGGUUUCCAAGUGGCGCUGGUUCCAAUCCCGCUACCUUUU
rnacentral:tRNA from 1 species